UACAGAGGGGGCAAGCGUUGUUCGGAAUUACUGGGCGUAAAGGGCUCGUAGGCGGCCAACUAAGUCGGAUGUGAAAUCCCCAGGCUUAACCUGGGAACUGCAUCCGAUACUGGAUGGCUUGAAUCCGGGAGAGGGAUGCAGAAUUCCAGGUGUAGCGGUGAAAUGCGUAGAUAUCUGGAGGAAUACCGGUGGCGAAGGCGGCAUCCUGGACCGGCAUUGACGCUGAGGAGCGAAAGCUAGGGGAGCAAACGGG
rnacentral:rRNA from 1 species